CCUACGGGAGGCAGCAGUGAGGAAUAUUGGUCAAUGGUCGGGAGCCUGAACCAGCCAAGCCGCGUGAGGGAUGAAGGUACAGAGUAUCGUAAACCUCUUUUGUCAGGGAACAAAGGCGGGGACGCGUCCCCGGAUGAGUGUACCUGAAGAAAAAGCAUCGGCUAACCCCGUGCCGGCAGCCGCGGUAAUACGGAGGAUGCGAGCGUUCUCCGGAUUUAUUGGGUUUACAGGGUGCGCAGGCGGUCUGUUACGUCAUAGGUAAAACCCAGGGGUUCAACCCCGACCCGCCGUUGAAACUGGCAGUCUCGAGUUGGAGAGAAGUAUGCGGAAUGCGCGGUUUAGCGGUGAAAUGCAUAGGUAUCGCGCAGAACUCCGAUUGCGAAGGCAGCAUGCCGGCUCCACACUGACGCUGAGGCACGAAAGCGUGGGUAUCGAACAGGAUUAGAUACCCCUGUAGUC
rnacentral:rRNA from 1 species